CCCCCAUCCGCUAGGGUUUCCGUUCGUCUGUCACGCACUCCACCGUCGUGGUGAGCCCUUGCGCUUCUGUGCUCCAAGGUUCCGCGUCGGAGUUUCGUUAGCUCUUCUCCAGAUGGGCGAGGUUCCAGAGGUCAGCAUAGGGAUGGAGAUUCCGCCGCCUAGGCCACGUGGACGAGACUAUAUUCUUCUUUGUGCUUCAUUUAGGGCUAUGGCCCCUGUAUUUUGUUGUCAUUAGUUUGUAAACCCUUAGUCAGACUGUCUAUCCUGUUUUGUUGGCAUCGUGGUGUGCCUGGUUUAGUAGGGGUGUUGUCGGGAACCCCAGGACUGCGUU